GGUGGGAUGGCCGAGCGGUCUAAGGCGCCAGACUAGGGACCAACAUGCCCAGCGUGUACCCAAAUCUGGUCAUUCGGGGCGUGAGUUUGAAUCUCACAGUUGUCAUUUUCUUCCU